UUACAGAGCCGCAUGACUCACUCCCCAGGGGCUAUGCCAGAGCGUCCUUAAAAGGCCAGGUGUUCAUACAAUUCCUAGGAGACAUUUCAGAGCCCCGUUCUCGCUCCAUUUUACUUCUUAUUCUAGUUUACUUAUGCAUUUGAAUAGCUAAGUCUGUUGGCCCAGGAAUUGUAAGUGUGGGUAGACGAAGUCUGAGGGCAAGUCAGACAGGAGUGUCUGGAGUGAUUGUUAUCUAACAGUCAGCCUUUGUUCCAAAGUCAGUGAAACCUCCAGUUGACAGUCUUGUGGUCCAUGAUAUUUCCCCUCUUAAGUAGAGCAGAGUGGGUAGCAAGGGGCAUAGGCAACUUCAAAGUCACACUUACGGGAAAGAUGGUUGGGGUAUCUACAAAAUGGCACCUAAGAGCAAGGCACAAAGGACAUUGUGUCAUCAGUGUGUGCGGAGAACAUUUUGAGAAGACAUGCUACAUAAAAGAAGCAAGCGAUGGAUUUUGAAGUAAACUGAAUCUGCAACACAUUGGAAGCCUAGAGUCUCCCGACUCCACAGGUGCUAGAAGGUCUUGGGUGUUUAAGCCAUGUGGCCUAGACAAUGUCUACUUCAGGACUGGUGGUUUGAACUGAGUACUGUUAUCUAAAUAGCUCCCCUGGUGGACCUGAGAUCCAUAGAGAACUGAUGGAAGAAUCUGAUUAAGAAAUCACUGUACCUGAUGUGGGGGUUGGAGUCACCACAGACGACCUCACUAAUCGAUAACUCUGAGUGCAUAUGUGAGGUGGAGGAAGCCAAAUCUGAAGCAGAACCUACAAGGAAAGCCUGCAACCCUCUCUGUCUGAAUAUGCUCUUACUCUAUGACAGGCGACAAGAGGAGAGCUGGUGUCCUCCAUAAAACUGUUUAUAGGCCUGACUUGGGGACACCCAGCAGAUUGAAAGGGGAAGAUCAGGUGGAGCAUAGGUAGCUGUAGAUCUGGAUGUCUGAACUGACUAGUGGCAUUUGCAAACAGCCACAAUACCUGCUGCCCUACACUAACUCCACAGGGUAAAACUGGCCGCUUUGUUAUGCUGCUAGCAAACCUUAUACUAACUUCUCUGGUCUGGCCAAUUCAAUACAGAAAACACACACACACACACACACACACACACACACAAAAA